rnacentral:rRNA from 1 species
GAUGAACGCUACGCGGGCGAGGCUUAACACAUGCAAGUCGAGGGGCAGCGGGAGUGUAGGCAAAGUACAUUGCCGGCGACCGGCGCAAGGGUGCGUAACGCGUGAGCAACAUGCCCGUCACAGGAGGAUAAACCAUGGAAACGUGGCCUAAUACUCCAUAGUAUGUAAUUGAGGCAUCUUAAUUACAUUAAAGCUUCGGUGGUGACGGAUUGGCUCGCGUGACAUUAGCUAGAUGGAGAGGUAACGGCUCACCAUGGCGACGAUGUCUAGGGGAACUGAGAGGUUAAUCCCCCACACUGGUACUGAGACACGGACCAG